GGGGGAGCAAACAGGAUUAGAUACCCUGGUAGUCCACGCCGUAAACGAUGUCGAAUUGGAGGUUGUGCCCUUGAGGCGUGGCUUCCGGAGCUAACGCGUUAAGUCGACCGCCUGGGGAGUACGGCCGCAAGGUUAAAACUCAAAUGAAUUGACGGGGGCCCGCACAAGCGGUGGAGCAUGUGGUUUAAUUCGAUGCAACGCGAAGAACCUUACCUACUCUUGACAUCCAGAGAACUUAGCAGAGAUGCUUUGGUGCCUUCGGGAACUCUGAGACAGGUGCUGCAUGGCUGUCGUCAGCUCGUGUUGUGAAAUGUUGGGUUAAGUCCCGCAACGAGCGCAACCCUUAUCCUUUGUUGCCAGCGGUCCGGCCGGGAACUCAAAGGAGACUGCCAGUGAUAAACUGGAGGAAGGUGGGGAUGACGUCAAGUCAUCAUGGCCCUUACGAGUAGGGCUACACACGUGCUACAAUGGCAUAUACAAAGAGAAGCGACCUCGCGAGAGCAAGCGGACCUCAUAAAGUAUGUCGUAGUCCGGAUUGGAGUCUGCAACUCGACUCCAUGAAGUCGGAAUCGCUAGUAAUCGUGGAUCAGAAUGCCACGGUGAAUACGUUCCCGGGCCUUGUACACACCGCCCGUCACACCAUGGGAGUGGGUUGCAAAAGAAGUAGGUAGCUUAACCUUCGGGAGGGCGCUUACCACUUUGUGAUUCAUGACUGGGGUGAAGUCGUAACAAGGUAACCGUAGGGGAACCUGCGGUUG
rnacentral:rRNA from 1 species